AGUGAACGCUGGCGGUAGGCCUAACACAUGCAAGUCGAACGGCAGCACAGUAAGAGCUUGCUCUUACGGGUGGCGAGUGGCGGACGGGUGAGGAAUACAUCGGAAUCUACUUUUUCGUGGGGGAUAACGUAGGGACACUUACGCUACUACCGCAUACGACCUACGGGUGAAAGCAGGGGAUCUUCGGACCUUGCGCGAUUGAAUUAGCCGAUGUCGGAUUAGCUAGUUGGCGGGGUAAAGGCCCACCAAGGCGACGAUCCGUAGCUGGUCUGAGAGGAUGAUCAGCCACACUGGAACUGAGACACGGUCCAGACUCCUACGGGAGGCAGCAGUGGGGAAUAUUGGACAAUGGGCGCAAGCCUGAUCCAGCCAUACCGCGUGGGUGAAGAAGGCCUUCGGGUUGUAAAGCCCUUUUGUUGGGAAAGAAAAGCAGCAGGUUAAUACCCCGCUGUUCUGACGGUACCCAAAGAAUAAGCACCGGCUAACUUCGUG
rnacentral:rRNA from 1 species